rnacentral:lncRNA from 1 species
AUAAGCGUAAUAUUGUUUGAUAUUAAUGCUGUUAAAUAAUGAGAAGAAGGAUUUUAAAUAAUGAUUAAUAAAUGUCCCUUUUAUCUUAAAUUACUGAACUCCACCAAUAACUAAUACCCUGAUACAAAGUUGUGUUUGAAACAUAGAUUCAGUGAGAAAAAAUUAUAUGAAAAUAUAAAAGUUAAACGAUUUAAUUAUUCAAAACUAUAAAAUAAUAUAUCUUUUUCAUUUUAGUUUUCCUUUUUCUAGCCAGAUCCUUUAUCCAAAGAAGCUGCCUCCCUGUGGUUGAAUACUCGAACGUGGAAUAUCAUAAAAACAGAAAAAAUAAGAAAAACAAGGGUAAAUUAUAAGAAUGGUCCCUGUAGUUUUGCAUAUUUUCAAUUCUGGUCUUUGUAUUUUUAAAUUAUGUGAUUUUGACUUUGUAUUUUACAUUUAUUGUCAAAUUAGUCCAAUUGAUAGUGAAAUUUAGAAUUUUGGAUGAAUUUUGAAUACAUGAACAACAUUUUUCUGGUGAUUUACAAUGGAAUUGGAUAUAUUACAGUAGGGUUUGAAUGAUUUAUCGUGAAAAUUGGGUGAAAAUGGGAGAAAAGUUCAAUUUUAUCUCUAAAAUACUGGUAUAUGUCAUAAAAGUAUAAACAAAUGUCCAAAAACAUAACGGCCGUUACUAAUUGGACUGAUUAUAACAAAAAAUAAAAAUAAAAACUUCUGAAUUUAAAAAUAUAAGGAUCAAAAUUUAGGACAAGUAAAAAUACAGGGACACUGUUUACAAUUUAUCCGAAAAACAAAAAAACCUGCCUCCAUCCACACACACACACACACUCUCCACUACCAAUAUAUACGUACCCACUUCUCCCUCUCUCCACCCAAUCUCACAACACCCAAAAAAUUGAGGUUUUGGCUGAUAUCUCCUCUCUCUCCGGGAGCCACCCUGACGCCGAUUCCUAGCUGAGGCGGCAGCGGAGAUCUAAGCUCUGUCAUAAGUAGAGAGAGCAAGGGGAUUUAUAGCUAUGAUUCUUUUGUUUCUGCUGCUUGAGGUCUUUGGGACUUUUGGAAACACUGGUGAUGCUGUGACCAGGAAGAGAGAGGUUGCUGCUUUUCUCGCUCAAACUUCACAUAAAACUACUGGUAAUUUCAAACAUGUUUUUUAUAUAACAAUUAUUAUGUACCAAAAAACAUUUUAAGGACAGCGACUAGUCGCGUCUAAGUGUCUUCCAUCGGUCUUAGGACCAAUUUUUGUUUUUAUAACUCAGUUUUGGUCGAGUCGGGUAAAGUUUCGUAUGGACAGACUCAACUCAAAAAUUAAUUGAUAGCACUUAAAAAGUUUCGAACUAAAGAAUUAAAAUGGAAUAGAUCUCCAAGUCUCAGGCUUAAAUCAUCAAUUUCACAGCUUGUUUUAUUAAGAUCCAGUUUUGUUUUCAGUGAACUUUUUUGGCAUUUAAUUAAAAAUUUAUACUUUUUCAGUUUCUUUUGACGAGAAGAGCUCGAAAAUAAAAAAUAAUCUAAUUUGAAAAAAAAUAUACUAAAUUCGAAAAAAAAUCAUUUUAGAUGGUUUUUCGGAUAAAAAUAAUUUCAUUCGUCUUGAGUAACCUUUUUUUCUAAAUUAGAUGACAAUUUUUAUGUAAUAAUUAUAAAUACAAUUUUAAUAAUUUAUUAAAAUUAUUGAGUUUACAAAAAAAGAAAUGUCUAGAAAUGUCUUUUUUCGUCAAUAAGUUUUUUUUUAAAUUAGAUAAUUAUUUUAUAUAUUUUUGAACUCUUCUCGUCAAGAAAAAAUAAAAAAUUUGUGGUAUUAGAGAGCUGCUUUUGUUCAGUGUAGUGACCCUAGUGGGCGAUGAUGGUGGUAUGGUGAUUUAUGCCGGAUGUCAAUGAAUUCAACGGCUGCUAUGGGCUGUGCUGUGAGUGACAAUCCAUUGGGAUGGGGUAGAGCUAGAAACAUCAAAUAAUAGAGAGAGAAGAGAACUCUAAAUUCCAUAACAUUUUGACAAUGUUAAUUUAUUAUCUGAUGUGAUAUAAUUUAUAAAUAUUUUUAGAUAUAAUUAAAUUAUUUAUUGAAUCUAUGUAUUAAUUUGAAAAUACGUCACAUCAGAUAAUAAAUAAAAAACAAUUAGAUAAGCGUAAUAUACAAUUAGAUAAGCGUAAUAUUGUUUGAUAUUAAUGUUGUUAAAUAAUGAGAAGAAGGAUUUUAAAUAAUGAUUAAUAAAUGUCCCCUUAUCCUUAAAUUACGACUCCAACAAUAACUAUACCUUGAGGCAAAACUGUAUUUUUUUUAUACUGCAAUCUCUAACUUAAUAUAUAAAUACAACUUAUGACAUAGUACGGAAGUUAAUAAAGAAGAGUAAAGGAAACACAUAAAUUAGAAAAACGUCCUAUUAAUCUAAGGAAGGAAUCUUCCUAAUUCCAACCGUAAGUAUAACACAACUUUCAAAGUACCCAUAAAAAAGCUCACACGUCGAUUUAUAGGAAGUAUUGGGAUCAUUUAACUAAAGAGCAAUUGGCAAAGCCUCAAAGCUAUGCAGAUUGCAUCCAUUAGUGUCGUCCCGGAGUUCCGAUGUUUGGAAUCAAUUCCUCUACACCUACCUUUCAAGUUAUCGAUAGAUCGAAAACAGAAAUAUAAAUGCGGGCUGAUAUCAAUAUUUACAGCAUGAAUUUUGUAAAAUCACCCAUUCUAGGUUAGGUGUAGUAGCAUGUGAUUUUAAAUGCAUUGAAUUUGAAAAAAUGACAGUAAAUCCAGGAACAGUCCCAAGGGGUCGCAGCCCCAAACUUUGACAAAUUUAUAAUAUUAAUCGCAUCUUAUUUCGAAUUCAAAAACUAUCUCUUACUAUUUACGGGUAAAAUCUAUUUGGGUUAAUCCAACGGCUGAGAUUUCAUCUAAAAUUAUUUUUUUCUCUCAAAACUAUAUUUCCAGUCUUUUUUCAAGAUGUUGAGCCCCACAUAAAUUCCAAUGGCAAAACUCUAAAAGUUAUGGCAUAUAUUUUAUCUAUUGAAUCAUUUUUUAGUAGAACCCACAUACAUAAAAAAAAUUUAUUUCUCCUUUAUUUCUCUCAAACUAGCAAUACUUUUUCAAAAUCAAUAUAUUUUCUAAUUUAUUUUUUAUUUUGUAGCAAUAUAUCUCUUCGUAUAUACAUCCAAUGUAUCUUUUAUCUGAUUUUUAUAUCUUAUCUGUUUUGUAAUUUGUAAAACUCUAACGAGUACGCCUAAGAGGUAAUUUUUUUUGAGCAGUGCCUAUAGGCAUGAGCAAUUACUAGUGCUCAAUAACGCAAUAUAAUUUUUGAUAUUUACAUGGUAAGUAUGCACAUCCCUAAUAAUUUAGUUUAAUGCCUCCAAAAUUUAAACAAAUAUUUAUCCUAGGCUCCGUUUGGAUAUGUAGAUUUCAAAUCAAGAAAUUUUAUAUUUUAUUUAAUAAAAAUAACUUACAUUAAGAUUUAGUAGUCGACGUAGAGAUUUCGAGCUUGAAUUUGAGAGUUUUAUUAUUAUGUAAUAUGAUGAAUUUAAAAUAACAAAUUAAUAAGAGAGAUUUAAAAUCUUUUAUACAAAUGCUUAAAAUACCCUUCCCAAAGAAAAAGAAAGAAAUAAAAGUGUAGUUGUAUGAGAAGGAAUAAUUCCGGUAAUGAGCAAAAAUAUUAAGGAUAUUAUUGUAAUCUUACAUAUAAAAAUAAAAAAUAUUUAAUAAAAAGUAUAGUGCAUAAAUCCCUAACCUAUUAAAAACUAAUAAUUCUUCUUAGGUAAGGACCUCUUGUACUGAAGAUUUGAAGCUUCUAGCUUGAUUUUUUCUCACAGCUUUGUGGUCAACUCUCACCAUUCCUCCUUUCGCCUCCCCAUACGUUUUCUUACAUUUUGGUCCGUAAUACAUGUGAAUACACAUUGAUGAAAGUCGUCAUUCACGUAGCCGCCCGAGUAACUAUUCUCAGUCUAUGAGUACAAUAUGUAUACACGGGUGUACUGUACGUAACAUUUUUACAACCUGACAUUUACAAUAACACUAAAUCAUAAAGAUUAAAGACAAAAAAUUCACACAACAAAACCCAGAAGAAUUCAGUGUACAGACUUUCUAAAAUUCUUUUGAUUUUCAGAAUUUAUUCAAAAAAAUAUGUUCAAACUCCAAAAACUUAUUAAAUAUCAUUGCAGUCUAUGUACCGGUUGAGGAGGAAUUUUGCGUAACCUUUGUGUGCAGUACGUCAAAGACGCCAAUACAGCCUCCCGAGAACGUACAAUAGAAUGAGUAUUGACUUGUCAGAUGUUCAGAUUUUACACAAUUUGGAUACAGGAUACAGCGUUACAAGUUCUUUCCAGCCAGCCGGUUUGGUACUGAGUUUAGCUCCUAUGGCGUCGAUCCGAAUAUAUUUUGCAAAUAUUUUGAUGAUACAUAUUUCUAUCUUAUUGCUCUUAAUGGUAGUAGUAAUUCAAGUAUGUUAGUUCAUCUCAAAAUUAUUCCAAGAGUCACAGCCAUUCUCACAAGGACACAAAAAGAAACACGAAAUAUUUGGGACUGCCAACAAGAAACCUUCAACACUGAAGGAUCAAAAAAUGGAAAACCGUUGUUCAGGUGUGUAUUAUUUUGUAAAUGCUCUUAGUAAUGGUUUACAACAAUUUUGUUAGGGCGUCUAAAAAAUGCUACCGUAAUAUAGUCCUUUCAUGGCCGCAUUAAUUAAAAAUACAAUAAGUGCAUUAAAACUUAGAUUUAUUACAAAAAUGUGCUACAAGCAAAAAUGUAUGUUCAUUUUGAAUAUUUACUAUGUCAAUGUGUGUAAAAAAUUGGGCUAGUUGACAAUAAUUGUUUUGACAUUGUGUUGCAAAAGCAUUUGUUUCAAUUUUGUAAAAACUAUUGCUAGCAACAAUUUUUGACUUUGAAAAUUGAUUCCAAGUUUUGAAAACAUAAUGUUAGCAACAUUUUCUGACUUGAAAUUUGGUUCCAAGUUGAAAAAUAUGUUAACACAAAUAAAGAGAACAAAUUUCUGACUUGAAAAUUUGGGUUCCAACUUUCUGACAAAUUGGAUAGGCACCUAUUUUCUGACUUUGCAAAAUUUGGUUCCAACUUCUGAAAAAAAUUGGAUAGCAACAAUUUACUGACUUUGAAAAAUGUGGUUAACAGAGCUGAGCGUGUUGAAAUUGGUAUAAUAAUUUCCUGACUUUGAUAUAAAUGUGGUUGCAUACUUUUGCCAAAAAUUGAAUAGCACCAUUUUUCUCAUUUUCGACUUUGAAUGUGGGUUGGAACUUUGAAAAUUUGGUACAGUAUAAUUUUCUUUCUGACUUUUGAAAAUGUGUGUGUGUGGCCAACUUUUGAAUUAGAGAAUCAAAAAAAAAAUAAAGAAUAGCAACCCAUUUCUGACUUGACAUGGUAUUUUCAAAUUUGAAAAUUGGCGUAAGAAAACUAGCAAAACUUCAAAUUCCAUCUUACCAACUCGGUUAUAGUUCUUCCUAGAAGCUAUAAAAUCAUAUCCUUUACGCUCUCAUUUUUUAUCUUGGAAUCUUAUGGAGAAUCAAAGAACUCAAAGCAUUCUUCAUUCUUCAUUUUCCAAAAUUCCCCUUUGAGCCUUCAAUUUAUUCAUACAAGAGUUCUCGUGAGAGAGACAUUGUAAAAGCUUCAUUUGUAUAUCCUUCUCAAAAGGAGAAUUGUUAUUGUGAGAGAAAUCUCAAAUCUAUUUCAGUCGAUUGUAUCUAGAGGGUUGUUUUGACCCUGUUUAGGUGUGAAGGAAAUUUUCCACCUUGUGAGAAGAGUGUGUACUCUUGCGUGUAAGGUUUGAACUCCACCUGCACAGGAGUUUGGCGGAUUAGUGUUGAUUGAAAUCUUCAAGUGUUGUGCUUUGGGAGUGACGUAUGUCAGGAAGACCGAACCACUAUAAAUUAUAGCCGAGUUUUGAUCUCUUUCCUUCUCGUUGUAUUAGUGUGCUCAUAUUUAUACGCUCGGUGCAUUAUACUGCUUUUUAUAUCAUUUGGAAACUCUUAAUUCAGUAUAAUUUAUUAAAAGAAAAGUUUUGCCAACAAACCCUAUUCCCCCCCCUCUAGGGUUAAUUUCUGGGUAACAAGUGGUAAUCAAGCAGGACUCUACAUUUUUCGGUAUCUAAAACGAUCUAGGAUUAAAAAGAUCUAUGGCCACAUAAUAGGAACACAUAUGGCCGAAUGCCAUUCCAUACAUAGACUCUGCUUUCCACUUAUUCGUCCGGAUAGUAAUUUAUAGAUUAUUGUGAAGGCUAGAAUUAAAAUUUUAUAUUCAGUGCCAAUGAUUAUGCAUGUUUGUCGAGCAUUAACAAAGCAUGGACCUAUUGCGUCCCACAAAAUAACUGAAAGUGGAGAGUGGUUACUAUAAACCUCAAAGAAUGGACUAUCGUAGAUACAAAAGCACAUGUAACAAAAUAAUGCUCAAGCCAACUUACACCACUUUUUAUAUUGUGCCUUACAGACGUAACGCAUUAAAUAAAUCUCCGGUGGUGAAACGGCUAAGGAAAUUGUUGGGAUAAGACACGUAAGAAUCCACCCAUGCGAACUGGACCAUCAAGUAAAAGGAAUCAAAAAUAAGUAUGUUAGGUUCAUUAAUACGAAUUUUUAAAAAUGAAUCAAGUGAUACUAAUGUAUCUGCAAUGUGUUCUACCUCGUUUUUUUAACCGAUAUGAUGUGUUCAUUAAUGGAGUGUAAGAGUCGCGCUGUAAAGUUUGUAUACAAUGUCGAAAUGGUGCGAGUAAUGCAUUGCUUAGGUGUCAUUAUCCACAAGAAGUUGGGAGACCAAACGUAUACCUGCCAUUGAAGAAUGCCAAAAGUAGCCCAUCACCAAAAAUGGGUCUUGAUGAAUUGGCUUGGAUCUCUCAUACACUGAAAUCACCUUGAGAGCAAUGAGGAAAAUGACGAAGGUAAAAAAAGAGAGAAAUUGCUUUCAAACCUCAUCAGCACAAACAAUGAUGAACCUCAACAUGAAUGAGGAAGUGAUGAAGAUAUGGCUCUCUUAAACGAAGAUUUACAGAUUUCAAAAGAGGUCAUUUCCUAGAAGACAAGGACGACCGAAACUUCGACAAAAAUGAAGACAAAAGAAGGACCCCCCAUCAUUUGCUUUGAAUGCAAAAAGCCCGGUCACAUGAAAGUUUGAUUGGCCAAAUCUCAAGAAAGAUCAAACGAGAUAGAGAAAUAUCAAAUUUGAAAAAUUCAAGAAGCUUUUCGGCUUGGGGAGAAAUUGACGUUGACACAUCCGAUGAUGAGUCCGGUGAUUCAAGAAGUGGCAAUUGUGUUCUUGUUCCUCAAGAAGAUAUAAAAAUGAGGUACAAUCUCGAAUCCAUUCCUUAAAUGAUUUACAAGAUGAUUAUGAUGAUUUAUAUUAGGGAAUCAUUGAAAUUAAUAACAAACAUUGCAUGCUUUAAAACAAUUGCCAUCACUUUCUAUUGAAAUAGAAACCUUUUGAAGAAGCUGGCUAAUGAGUGACAAGUAAAUAUUGAACUACUGAUACAAUUUUAGAUCUAACAAAAUGUCUUGGAAAAAUUUACAAAAGUCAAAAGAUUUUGGAUCUACUUCUUGGAUCACAAAGAUGUGUAUAUGAUCCGUGCGGGAUUGGACACAAUAUUCAACUAACAAAAUUAUAUAAAUAUCUUUGUGUGAAUCAACUUCUUUUUCGACCACAAAAAUUUCAUGCACAGAUUGCAAUCCUAAGGGCAUACUCAAAAACAUGCUAUGUGAAGAAUGUGUUAGGUAAAGGAUUAAAAAACAAUAUGGGGACCUAAGAAGAAAAAUGCUACUAACAUUCAAGGACCCAACCAGAUUUGGGUACCAAGACAAUGGUUGAUCUUGUAUAAGGUUGCUGAAUGAAUUCAAAGAAAGGAGGAGGGGGGGGGGGGGGGGUGGUACUUGUAGUGGAUGCUCAAGACAUUGACUCGGAGAAUAAAUCCACCUUUCGCAUACUAAUCCAAAGGAUGUGGAUUUGUGACCUUCGAGACAAUAGCAAGGAAAAAUCUCGUAUAGUUAAUGGGGUAGGAACCUUCUCCUUUAUAUAAAAUGUUUACUUGUUGAUGGAUUAAAGCAUAACUUUACUUAGUAUUAGUCAUAUGUGAUACGGAAAAUAAAGGCAUCUUUGACAAAUAUGUGCCCAUAGAAAAAUAUCAAAGAUGAUAAAACUUAUUUAAUUGUCAAAGAAUUGAAAUGUAAUUUUUUUUGUUAAAAAUUGAUGACGUUGAGCCAACAAAUGGACUUGCUUAUCAGCCAUGAAUGACAAACGGUUGGCUAUGGCCAUAAAGGCCUUGGGCAUUCUCUAUAGAUCUUAUUUCAAAACUUGCUAAAAGGAUUGGUAAUUGGGCUAACCAAAAAUUUCUUUUGAAAAGAUAGUUGUGUGGAGCAUGUCACCAAGGACAACAAACAAAGUGUCUUUUAAGUCAAAAAUAUCGUUUCUUCUCUCUCUUCUAACAUCUAAGGCCUCUACAACUUCUACACACAUGGACCUUAAUUGGUCCUUCAAGACAAUGAAGUUCGUGAGGAAAUUAUACAUUCUUGUGAUUUGUGAUGAUUUUUUCUCGAUUUACAUGGUAACAUUUUUAGCUCACAAAAAUUAAGCAUUUUCCUCAUUUCACAAAAACUUGCCGACGUCUCAAAUGAUAAAGAACUAAGACCUCAAAAUUUCUACAUUAGAACCGAUCAUGGGAAAGACUGAAAUUGAGUCUUUUUGCCAAAUUUUGUGAUAUCUCGGAUUGGACUAAUUUCUCGGCACCUAGGACCCCUCAACAAAAAGGCUUGUUGAAAGAAAAAAUAGAACUUUGGAAGAAAUGGCAAGAACAAUGCUUUGCGAAAACUCUCGUCCAAAAUAACUUUGGGCUUAAAAGCUGUGAACACGCAUGCUUUAAUUUAAUCGAGCCAUGAUUUAGGCCAAUCUUAAAAGACACCUAUGAGCCUUUGGAAAGAAGAAACCAAAUAUUGGGUUCUUUCAUUGCUUUGGAUGCAAUGCUUAUGUCCCUAAAUAUGGGAAGGACAACUAGGAAAAUUCGAUCAAUCGGAUGAAGCUUUUUCUAGGAUAUUCAAUUACAACACAGCUUUUUCGAGUUUUUAACAAACGAACUUUAGUAGUUGAAGAAUCCUGCAUGUUGGUAUUUGAUGAAUAUAAUGAUCCUUCUUUUCAAGUGCUUCAAGAAAGUUAGGAAUUGAAAAGCAUGGAAAAUAUUGAAAUCUCUCAAGAACGCAGAUACUCAAGGAGAAGCCACUGAAAAACAAAUUGCAACUAGAGGUAGUACUUACCUCAAAUUGAAAAUCACGUGGGAAACCUCAAAAGCAAAGAAGGUGGAAGCUCACAUCUCCCAAAGAAUGGAGAUAUGUUUUUCACAACCACCAACAAUCUCAUUAUUGGUGAUCCAUCAAAAGGGUAACUACUAGAACUCUAUAAAAUUUAUUGGGCAUCUUGCAUUCUAUUCUCAAUAGAACCUAAAAUUUUCAUGAAGCUGAAUUUGAUGAAUAUUGGCUUCUAGCUAUGCAAGAGAACUCAAUCCAUUCGAAAGAAAGCAAGUUUGGACUCUAGUACUAGGCAUCAAAUCAUCCUCAUAUUGGCACUAAAUGGUAUUUAGAAAUAAACUUGAUGAAUCCGGAAUCAUUGUUAGAAAUAAAGCUAGACUUUUGGCCCAAGGAUAUAGUUCAAGAAGAGGAAUAGAUUUUGAUGAUAAUUUGCUCUCCCGUAGCUAGAUUGGAAGCUAUUUCGAAUGUACAGCCUUUGCAUGCUAAUAUGGACUUCAAUUAUAUCAAAUGGAUGUAAAAAGUGCAAUUCUUAAAUGGAUUUAUUACCGAGGAAGUGUUGUGCCACCUCGCCGGGUUUGGAGAAUCAUGAAUUGCCCAAUCAUGUCUUUAACUUUCAAAGCACUCUAUGGACUUAAGCAAGCUCCAAGACGUGGUAUGAAAGACUUAGCAAAUAAUUUAAAUGAUACUAGUUUUUGGCAAGAGGGAAAAUAGAUAAUACACUUUUUAUAAAAAUUGAAGAAUAAGGACAUGCUCAUCGUCCAAGAUAUGUUGAAUGAUAUUAUAUUUGGUGCUACUAUGAGAAUAUUGCAAAGAAUUUGGCUAAAGAGCAUGCAAAGGAGAAUUCGAUGACAUAUUGGGGAGGCUAACUUUCUUCCUUGGACUAACAAAUCAAACAAUCAAGCGAAGGGACAAUUUAUAAUCAGCAAAUACACAAAGGAGCUUCCUCAAGCGUUUGGCAUGAUAGAAGCAAAACCGCUAGGCACCACCGAACCCCAUAUGGGCACAUCAAUAAGCCUUGACAAAGAUGAAAUGGUAAAAAUGUUGAUGAACAAGCCUCUAAUCGAGGUAUGAAUUGGCUCUUUUGCUCUAUUUAAAACAAAACGGAAGUAGGCCGGAUAUCAUGUUUUAGUGUAUGCCAUAUGUGCUAGAUUUCAAUCAUGUCCUAAGGAAUCAACUUUAAGUUUGCUGUGAAACGCUAUUUAGAUAGCUCAUAGAAACGUAUGACUUAGGAAUAUUCAUCCUAGGGUAGUUGCAUUUGAAUUAAAUGAUUCCUCCGAUGCCGACUAUACGCCGGAUUGUAGAUAGAUCGAAAGAGCACAAGUGGCACUUGCAUUCCUAGGACACUCUCUAGUGUCAUGGUCUAGCAAGAAACAAAAUUCCGUUGCUUUAUCAACCGCCGAGGCGGAAUAUGUGGCCGCGGAAGUUGUUGUGCCAUUCCUUAUUGGAGGAAACAACAAUGGAGGAGUAUGGUUUAAUUUGAUCAUAUUCCCAUCAAAUGUGAUAAUACACGUGCUAUAAAUUUUGUCUAAGAGCCCCAAUUAAUACAACACUCAAAGAACAAACCUAUUGAAAUUCGACAUCUCAUUUUUUAAAGAUCACGUCCCAAAGGGGGAUUUGACUUCAAUAUAUUCCUACCGACAAGCAUUGGCGGCUAUUUUUAACAAAACCCCUUGAUUGAAAAAAGAGAUUUUGCUAUAUUCCGAACUGAACUGUAAUGGUCUAAACCAAGUGAUAUUUUUGGAUCUUAAAAUAAAUUUAUAAGUAUAAGUUGAGUCAUAGUUGAGAAAGAAUAGUUCGGGACUGAAUGUAUUCAAUGCCUAAUCUCCGACAAACAAUUUUUUUCCUUUCUUUGAAUUGUUAUCUUGAUUUGAUAUGUGAUAAAUAAGAUUAUCAAAAAGCUGAGGUACUGAUAUUAUGAUAAGAACUAUGAGAUCUCUAUAUGCUUAUAUGCGAAAAUGUAAGUAUGUAAUGUCUGACAAUGAGAGUUGUUCUUUAUUUUGAUAAAACUAUCCCUUUUGAUAAUUUCAAAACUCCUCUAAAUGAAAGAAUUUUAAGAUUUGAGGUUUUAGUGCAAAAAUCUUUUGGUUUAUUCACCACUCAAAUUAUCUUUCGUUAAACAUCCUAUGUGUUUAAUUGGUAUCUAAUACUAGCAUGUGAGAUAACAAGAAAAUAUUCUUGGUCAAAAAUUUUUUAAAAAAACUCCUUCAUUAUGUUUUCAUAUGUGAUUGUUUGAUUAGUUGAAAUACAUGCAUAUCAUCAUACUUAUGCACCAACUUAGGGGAGCACUACAUAUUGGUACCACUUUGGUAGGGUAUCCUACAUUUACCUUCAUUGAAAUUAGACAUCAUAUCUUUAUUUCGUGAUCCUGUCAAAAAGAAGAUGUAGACCUAGAUUUUAUAAGUACUGGAUUUCAAUGGGUUGACAUCUUCAUAAAACCACUUCAAGAGAUCGUUCUGCAACCAUUCGAAGAGACCUUGGUAAAUGUGUAGACCACAAAUAUUAACAUAAUAUUUUAGGUUAUUUAUUUUAUAUUUUUUUAUAUAGAAUAAUUUACUAUUAUUCUGAAUCAAAUUACCUGUUUAAGUUUUCAAGAAAAUCUUAGCUUUUUCGGACUUCAACACGAACUCUCCUGGUUGCUCUUGUAAGACGGUUUUUAUCAUCUCUAGUUUUCUGAAUACUCUUUUUCCAUAUCAUUAGCAUAUGAUCGACAUUUCUCUUCACUCUUUAUUCCUCCUGCUGAAGACUUCUUUCCUUCGUUGCAAGUUUCAAACUUGAGAGUCCUUAGCUCUUGACUGCAUUUCCCUCGACUUGUAACGUCGAGCCAUAAUUUGCAACGAAGAUGCACCCUGGAUUACUGAGUGCCAUAGGAGUCCUUAAUGGCUUCAAUAUCAAUUCCAUAUUCCUCUAUAACUUUUCCAUCUUGUGGAGUACUGAUUCCUUUAGGCUAACUGAUGCAGCAAACUGCAUCAUCCGCAUCACAGAGCCAUUGUUAUGAUAGGUCUUUUUUGAGAUAAGGGUUAAUGAACGCCAGAUUCUGGUUGUACAUUAGGCAUAUCAUUCACGAUCAAAUUUCUUUUUGAGAAGAAGAAGAAGCCAUUUUUGAAAACUAAGAAAGAAACUGGUUCAGUAAAUGAAAUUGUUCUUCAAAAAGAACCGAAGGAGAAAGAAGAAGAGAACUAAUUUUUGGGAUCUAGGAAAGAGAUUUUUUCAGACAAAUAUAGCCUAAAAGUCGUCCUCUGUGCACAGCCGCACCUACCAUUGACAAACCAAUCCUAGAUUACGAUUUUAUUUUUAUUUUUUAUUUUUAUUUUUAU